CAGUCGAGAAUCUUUCACAAUGGGCGAAAGCCUGAUCCAGCCAUGCCGCGUGUGUGAAGAAGGUCUUCGGAUUGUAAAGCACUUUAAGUUGGGAGGAAGGGCAGUAAGCGAAUACCUUGCUGUUUUGACGUUACCGACAGAAUAAGCACCGGCUAACUCUGUGCCAGCAGCCGCGGUAAUACAGAGGGUGCAAGCGUUAAUCGGAAUUACUGGGCGUAAAGCGCGCGUAGGUGGUUCGUUAAGUUGAAUGUGAAAGCCCCGGGCUCAACCUGGGAACUGCAUCCAAAACUGGCGAGCUAGAGUAGGGCAGAGGGUGGUGGAAUUUCCUGUGUAGCGGUGAAAUGCGUAGAUAUAGGAAGGAACACCAGUGGCGAAGGCGACCACCUGGGCUCAUACUGACACUGAGGUGCGAAAGCGUGGGGAGCGAACAGGAUUAGA
rnacentral:rRNA from 1 species